rnacentral:rRNA from 1 species
GAUGAACGCUGGCGGCAUGCCUAAUACAUGCAAGUCGAGCGAACAGACGAGGAGCUUGCUCCUUUGACGUUAGCGGCGGACGGGUGAGUAACACGUGGAUAACCUACCUAUAAGACUGGGAUAACUUCGGGAAACCGGAGCUAAUACCGGAUAACAUGUUGAACCGCAUGGUUCAACAGUGAAAGACGGUCUUGCUGUCACUUAUAGAUGGAUCCGCGCCGCAUUAGCUAGUUGGUAAGGUAACGGCUUACCAAGGCAACGAUGCGUAGCCGACCUGAGAGGGUGAUCGGCCACACUGGAACUGAGACACGGUCCAGACUCCUACGGGAGGCAGCAGUAGGGAAUCUUCCGCAAUGGGCGAAAGCCUGACGGAGCAACGCCGCGUGAGUGAAGAAGGUCUUCGGAUCGUAAAACUCUGUUAUUAGGGAAGAACAAAUGUGUAAGUAACUAUGCACGUCUUGACGGUACCUAAUCAGAAAGCCACGGCUAACUACGUG